GGGACCGACUUGGCUUCGACGUGGGUACGGAGUCGGCGCGGGGCAUGCCGAGCACCAGUUCGCUCGUAAAUCCACUGGAAACAAGUAACUGCGAACGACGAACGUUUCGCUCUCGCCGCUUAAACACCGGUGAGCCUCUCAACGGUUGGCCGAUGGGCCGGGCCGGCGCCGCAAGGCAAGGGCUGAGAGGUCAUUCACAUCGGCUGGGUGCCGGCCAUGUCGCUGGGCAGGCACCGAGACUCAGCGAAUCG
rnacentral:tmRNA from 1 species